UACGAAGGGGGCUAGCGUUGCUCGGAAUCACUGGGCGUAAAGCGCACGUAGGCGGCUUCUUAAGUCAGGGGUGAAAUCCUGGAGCUCAACUCCAGAACUGCCUUUGAUACUGAGAAGCUUGAGUCCGGGAGAGGUGAGUGGAACUGCGAGUGUAGAGGUGAAAUUCGUAGAUAUUCGCAAGAACACCAGUGGCGAAGGCGGCUCACUGGCCCGAUACUGACGCUGAGGUGCGAAAGCGUGGGGGAGCAAACAGGG
rnacentral:rRNA from 1 species